AUCCGGCUUCAGCGCUCCGUGCGUCCGGCCCAGGUAACAACUUCCCCAAAAACCGAAAGAGAAAAGCGCGAGGCGCACGCACACCGGCCCAUCCCGGCGCAGAGACCUCGUCUGCCCCGGGAGGGGGAUCUGUCUGUGGUGCUUCCCGGUCUCUAAGCCCAGGGACGCCUGGUUUCCCCCCAAGCGAACCGGGAUGGGAAGUGACUUCAAUGAGAUUGAACUUCAGCUGGAUUGAAAGAGAGGCUAGAAGUUCCGCUUGCCAGCAGCCUCCUUAGUAGAGCGGAAUGAGUAAUACCCACACGGUGCUUGUCUCACUUCCCCAUCCGCACCCGGCCCUCACCUGCUGUCACCUCGGCCUCCCACACCCGGUCCGCGCUCCCCGCCCUCUUCCUCGCGUAGAACCGUGGGAUCCUAGGUGGCAGGACUCAGAGCUAAGGUAUCCACAGGCCAUGAAUUCCUUCCUAAAUGAGCGGUCAUCGCCGUGCAGGACCUUAAGGCAAGAAGCAUCGGCUGACAGAUGUGAUCUCUGAACCUGAUAGAUUGCUGAUUUUAUCUUAUUUUAUCCUUGACUUGGUACAAGUUUUGGGAUUUCUGAAAAGACCAUACAGAUAACCACAAAUAUCAAGAAAGUCGUCUUCAGUAUUAAGUAGAAUUUAGAUUUAGGUUUCCUUCCUGCUUCCCACCUCCUUCGAAUAAGGAAACGUCUUUGGGACCAACUUUAUGGAAUAAAUAAGCUGAGCUGUAUUUCAAGUAAUAUAGUUAUAAAUUAACAAUGUAGCAGUUAUUGAUAGAGAAAUUGAGAAAACUGAAACGUGACCGGAGUAUUGGAAAUAACGUAGUACAUCACCUAGCACAAUGACACAUAGUAGGUGCUCAAUAAAUUUAUGCUUAUAAUUUUU
rnacentral:lncRNA from 1 species